rnacentral:rRNA from 1 species
AUUGAACGCUGGCGGCAGGCCUAACACAUGCAAGUCGAACGAGUGGCGGACGGGUGAGUAAUGUCUGGGAAACUGCCUGAUGGAGGGGGAUAACUACUGGAAACGGUAGCUAAUACCGUAUACCAUCGGCUGUUCCCAAAUGGGACUAGCUUGUUGGUGGGGUAACGGCUCAUCAAGGCGACGGUCCCUAGCUGGUCUGAGAGGAUGACCAGCCACACGUGAACGGAAACACGGUCCAGACUCCUACGGGAGGCAGCAGUGGGGAAUAUUGCACAAUGGGCGCAAGCCUGAUGCAGCCAAGCCGCGUGUAUGAAGAAGGCCUUCGGGUUGUAAAGUACUUUCAGCGGGGAGGCGUUACCCGCAGAAGAAGCACCGGCUGACUCCGUGCCAGCAGCCGCGGUAAUAC